AUGGCAACCUCAAUUGGUUGCAUAUAUUACUAUCUUUUGUUCCUUAUUUGGUUUCUCUCAAGUAUCACUUUCUUUGUGCAAAGUCACCUUGUGCUACUAAGUUGGAAACUAUUCCUUUUAGGUAACAUUCAGCACUUUGGUACUAUGAACAGAUCAAUACCAAUGUCUAGAUCUACAUCAUUUGCACAAUGUUGGGAUCAAUUUAUUAGUCCCAUAAUGAUAAUACCUCUUGGUUUAUAUACAAAUUUACCUACAACUCAGAUACUUUAUAUUCUUAGAUAG